rnacentral:rRNA from 1 species
GAUGAACGCUGGCGGCGUGCCUAAUACAUGCAAGUAGAACGCUGAAGGAGGAGCUUGCUCUUCUGGAUGAGUUGCGAACGGGUGAGUAACGCGUAGGUAACCUGCCUGGUAGCGGGGGAUAACUAUUGGAAACGAUAGCUAAUACCGCAUGACAACAGUUAUUGCAUGAUAACUGUUUAAAAGGGGCAACUGCUCCACUACCAGAUGGACCUGCGUUGUAUUAGCUAGUUGGUGAGGUAACGGCUCACCAAGGCGACGAUACAUAGCCGACCUGAGAGGGUGAUCGGCCACACUGGGACUGAGACACGGCCCAGACGCCUACGGGAGGCAGCAGUAGGGAAUCUUCGGCAAUGGACGGAAGUCUGACCGAGCAACGCCGCGUGAGUGAAGAAGGGUGUCGGAUCGUAAAGCUCUGUUGUAAGAGAAGAACGAGUGUGAGAGUGGAAAGUUCACACUGUGACGGUAGCUUACCAGAAAGGGACGGCUAACUACGUG